AGCGAACGCUGGCGGCAGGCUUAACACAUGCAAGUCGAGCGGGCACUUCGGUGUCAGCGGCCGACGGGUGAGUAACACGUGGGAACGUACCCUUUGGUUCGGAAUAACGCUGGGAAACUAGCGCUAAUACCGGAUACGCCCUUUUGGGGAAAGGCUUGCUGCCGAAGGAUCGGCCCGCGUCUGAUUAGCUAGUUGGUGGGGUAAUGGCCUACCAAGGCGACGAUCAGUAGCUGGUCUGAGAGGAUGAUCAGCCAGACUGGGACUGAGACACGGCCGAGACUCUGAGAGGAGGAAGCAGUGGGGAAUAUUGGAGAAUGGGCGAAAGCGGGAUCCAGGCAUGCCGGGUGUGUGAAGAAGGUCUUUGGACUGGAAAGCAAUUGAGGUUGGGAGGAAGGGCAGUAAGUUAAUACCUUGCUGUAUUGACGUUACCAAAAGAAUAAGCACCGGCUAACUUCGUG
rnacentral:rRNA from 1 species